rnacentral:rRNA from 1 species
CCAGACUCCUACGGGAGGCAGCAGUGGGGAAUAUUGCACAAUGGGGGAAACCCUGAUGCAGCGACGCCGCGUGAGUGAAGAAGUAAUUCGUUAUGUAAAGCUCUAUCAGCAGGGAAGAAAAUGACGGUACCUGAGUAAGAAGCCCCGGCUAACUACGUGCCAGCAGCCGCGGUAAUACGUAGGGGGCAAGCGUUAUCCGGAUUUACUGGGUGUAAAGGGAGCGUAGACGGCAGUGCAAGUCUGGAGUGAAAGGCGGGGGCUCAACCCCCGGACUGCUCUGGAAACUGUACGGCUGGAGUGCAGGAGAGGUAAGUGGAAUUCCUAGUGUAGCGGUGAAAUGCGUAGAUAUUAGGAGGAACAUCAGUGGCGAAGGCGACUAUCUGGCACAUAACUGACGCUGAGGAGCGAAAGCGUGGGUAGCAAACAGGAUUAGAUACCCGCGUAAA